rnacentral:rRNA from 1 species
AACGAACGCUGGCGGUAUGGCUAAAACAUGCAAGUCGAACGCGAAAGUUCCUUCGGGAGCGAGUAGAGUGGCGAAAGGGCGAGGAAUAUAUGGGCAACGUACCUUGAGCACAGGGAUAGCCGCGGGAAACCGCGGAUAAUACCUGAUGAGACCACAGCGCUGCAGGGCGCAGCGGUCGAAGGCCGGGAUCCUUCGGGACCGGUUGGCUCUUGAGCGGCCCAUAUCCUAUCAGCUAGUUGGUGAGGUAACGGCCCACCAAGGCUACGACGGGUAGCGGGACUGAGAGGUUGGCCCGCCGCAUUGGGACUGAGACACUGCCCAGACUCCUACGGGAGGCUGCAGUAACGAAUAUUGGGCAAUGGGCGAAAGCCUGACCCAGCGAUACCGCGUGUGGGAAGAAGCUCUUCGGGGUGUAAACCACUGUCAGGGACUACCAAGCGAAGAGGGUUAACAUCCCUCCUAGUUGAGGAUUCCCAAAGGAAGCCACGGCUAACUUCGUGCCAGCAGCCGCGGUAAGACGAAGGUGGCUAGCGUUGUUCGGAAUCACUGGGCUUAAAGGGCGCGUAGGCGGCCCAUCAAGCGCUUUGUGAAAUCCCUCGGCUCAACCGAGGAAUUGCUUGGCGGACUGAUGGGCUUGAGGUAGGCAAGGGUGAGUGGAACUCUUGGUGGAGCGGUGGAAUGCGUAGAUAUCAAGAGGAACGCCGGCGGUGAAGACGACUCACUGGGCCUGUCCUGACGCUGAGGCGCGAAAGCCAGGGGGGCAAACGGGAUUAGAUACCCCGGUAGUCCUGGCCCUAAACCAUGUCCACUAGGUUGAUGACUCUCUGACGGGUUGUCGGCCGAAGCAAAAGUGUUAAGUGGACCGCCUGGGGAGUACGGUCGCAAGGCUAA